rnacentral:rRNA from 1 species
CCCCUAAGGCGAGGCCGAAAGGCGUAGUCGAUGGGAAACAGGUUAAUAUUCCUGUACUUGGUGUUACUGCGAAGGGGGGACGGAGAAGGCUAUGUUGGUCGGGCGACGGUUGUCCCGGUUUAAGCGUGUAGGCUGGUUUUCCAGGCAAAUCCGGAAAAUCAAGGCUGAGGCGUGAUGACGAGGCACUACGGUGCUGAAGCAACAAAUGCCCUGCUUCCAGGAAAAGCCUCUAAGCAUCAGGUAACAUCAAAUCGUACCCCAAACCGACACAGGUGGUCAGGUAGAGAAUACCAAGGCGCUUGAGAGAACUCGGGUGAAGGAACUAGGCAAAAUGGUGCCGUAACUUCGGGAGAAGGCACGCUGAUAUGUAGGUGAAGUCCCUCGCGGAUGGAGCUGAAAUCAGUCGAAGAUACCAGCUGGCUGCAACUGUUUAUUAAAAACACAGCACUGUGCAAACACGAAAGUGGACGUAUACGGUGUGACGCCUGCCCGGUGCCGGAAGGUUAAUUGAUGGGGUCAGCGCAAGCGAAGCUCUUGAUCGAAGCCCCGGUAAACGGCGGCCGUAACUAUAACGGUCCUAAGGUAGCGAAAUUCCUUGUCGGGUAAGUUCCGACCUGCACGAAUGGCGUAAUGAUGGCCAGGCUGUCUCCACCCGAGACUCAGUGAAAUUGAACUCGCUGUGAAGAUGCAGUGUACCCGCGGCAAGACGGAAAGACCCCGUGAACCUUUACUAUAGCUUGACACUGAACAUUGAGCCUUGAUGUGUAGGAUAGGUGGGAGGCUUUGAAGUGUGGACGCCAGUCUGCAUGGAGCCGACCUUGAAAUACCACCCUUUAAUGUUUGAUGUUCUAACGUUGACCCGUAAUCCGGGUUGCGGACAGUGUCUGGUGGGUAGUUUGACUGGGGCGGUCUCCUCCUAAAGAGUAACGGAGGAGCACGAAGGUUGGCUAAUCCUGGUCGGACAUCAGGAGGUUAGUGCAAUGGCAUAAGCCAGCUUGACUGCGAGCGUGACGGCGCGAGCAGGUGCGAAAGCAGGUCAUAGUGAUCCGGUGGUUCUGAAUGGAAGGGCCAUCGCUCAACGGAUAAAAGGUACUCCGGGGAUAACAGGCUGAUACCGCCCAAGAGUUCAUAUCGACGGCGGUGUUUGGCACCUCGAUGUCGGCUCAUCACAUCCUGGGGCUGAAGUAGGUCCCAAGGGUAUGGCUGUUCGCCAUUUAAAGUGGUACGCGAGCUGGGUUUAGAACGUCGUGAGACAGUUCGGUCCCUAUCUGCCGUGGGCGCUGGAGAACUGAGGGGGGCUGCUCCUAGUACGAGAGGACCGGAGUGGACGCAUCACUGGUGUUCGGGUUGUCAUGCCAAUGGCACUGCCCGGUAGCUAAAUGCGGAAGAGAUAAGUGCUGAAAGCAUCUAAGCACGAAACUUGCCCCGAGAUGAGUUCUCCCUGACCCUUUAAGGGUCCUGAAGGAACGUUGAAGACGACGACGUUGAUAGGCCGGGUGUGUAAGCGCAGCGAUGCGUUGAGCUAACCGGUACUAAUGAACCGUGAGGCUUAACCUU